AACGCUGGCGGCGUGCCUAACACAUGCAAGUCGAGCGAGGAGAUCCUUCGGGAUGAUCCUAGCGGCGACGGGUGAGUAACACGUGGGCAACCUGCCUCAUAGAGAGGAAUAGCCUUCCGAAAGGGAGAUUAAUACCUCAUAACAUUGCAGUUUCGCAUGGAACAGCAAUUAAGGAGCAAUCCGCUAUGAGAUGGGCCCGCGGCGCAUUAGCUAGUUGGUGAGGUAACGGCUCACCAAGGCGACGAUGCGUAGCCGACCUGAGAGGGUGAUCGGCCACAUUGGGACUGAGACACGGCCCAGACUCCUACGGGAGGCAGCAGUGGGGAAUAUUGCACAAUGGGGGAAACCCUGAUGCCAGCAACGCCGCGUGAGUGAUGACGGCCUUCGGGUUGUAAAGCUCUGUCUUCAGGGACGAUAAUGACGGUACCUGAGGAGGAAGCCACGGCUAACUACGUGCCAGCCGCCGC
rnacentral:rRNA from 1 species